rnacentral:rRNA from 1 species
UACGUAGGGAGCGAGCGUUAUCCGGAUUUACUGGGUGUAAAGGGCGUGUAGGCGGGAUGGCAAGUCAGGCGUGAAAACUAUGGGCUCAACCCAUAGCCUGCGUUUGAAACUGUCGUUCUUGAGUGAUGGAGAGGCAAGCGGAAUUCCGUGUGUAGCGGUGAAAUGCGUAGAUAUACGGAGGAACACCAGUGGCGAAGGCGGCUUGCUGGACAUUAACUGACGCUGAGGCGCGAAAGCGUGGGGAGCAAACA